rnacentral:ncRNA from 1 species
AAAAAGCUACGCUAGGGAUAACAGGCUAAUUGCGCCAGAGAGUACAAAUUGAGUGCGCAGUUUGGCACCUCGAUGUCGGCUUAGCUCAUCCACAUGAAUGUAGGAAUCAUGAAGGGUACGACUGUUCGUCGGUUAAAGAGCUACACGAGCUGGGUUAAAUACGUCGUGAGACAGUAUGGUUUCUAUCUUCUAGGAGUAAUUAGAGUAAAGUAAGGAUAGCCCCUUCGUACGAAAGGAGUUGGGUAUAUUAACCUAUGGUUUAUUUGUUGUUUAUGUAUCCAGUAUAGUUGAUAAAAUAAAUACAGCAAUUAGUGCAUUUCUAAUGAGCAGGUUUAUUAUUAUUAUUCAGGAGAUUUACAUUUAUCUAUGUAUAAAUAUACAUCAUAGGCACAGCAAUAAAGCUACGUUAGUGAUAAAUAAGUGCUGAAUGCAUAUAGGCACGAAGUUUACCUUAGAAUACUCUAAAAUAUACGUAGUACACCACUACGAAUUAUAAUAUUACAAUUUAUAAUUGUAUAGGCUUUGGUUUAAAGGAUUUUGAUGUCUUCAGAUACAAAGUACUAAUUUUAUUAAAAACUAAAUAAC